rnacentral:rRNA from 1 species
UAUUGCACAAUGGGGGAAACCCUGAUGCAGCAACGCCGCGUGAGUGAAGAGGUAUUUCGGUANGUAAAGCUCUAUCAGCAGGGAANNCGNNNANGGUACCUGAGUAAGAAGCCCCGGCUAACUACGUGCCAGCAGCCGCGGUAAUACGUAGGGGGCAAGCGUUAUCCGGAUUUACUGGGUGUAAAGGGAGCGUAGACGGUGAGACAAGUCUGAAGUGAAAGCCCGGGGCUCAACCCCGGGACUGCUUUGGAAACUGCCUGACUGGAGUGCUGGAGAGGCAAGUGGAAUUCCUAGUGUAGCGGUGAAAUGCGUAGAUAUUAGGAAGAACACCAGUGGCGAAGGCGGCUUGCUGGACAGUAACUGACGUUGAGGCUCGAAAGCGUGGGGAGCA